rnacentral:lncRNA from 1 species
ACGCACAAGGCUAUUCAGGAGUGGGGGUAAAAUGUUAAUGCGGUGACCUUUAAAUCUUCAUUUUUCUUUAUUUCCCUGAAUGCUAAUUAAAGGACAUGUUCAGCACCAGGAGGAAUUUGCAUCCAAGUCCGUCUCCCUGCUAAGUGGUAUUUUGAGAAUUCCGAAGCUUAGUCUCAGAGAAGAGCUGACCUGAACUUGCCGAGGCUCCCACUGCAUUGUAGCUUUUCUCUGGAGAACAAAAACUGCCAUUGUCCAGCAGCUCAUUAGCAUGACUGUACAGCCUCCGGAGUUAGCAAGAUCUCACUCCUGUCACCCAGGUUGGAGUGCAAUG